rnacentral:rRNA from 1 species
CGUCGACCGGCGCACGGGUGAGUAACGCGUAUCCAACCUUCCCAUUACUGUGGGAUAACCUGCCGAAAGGCAGACUAAUACCGCAUAGUCUUCGAUGACGGCACCAGAUUUGAAGUAAAGAUUUAUCGGUAAUGGAUGGGGAUGCGUCUGAUUAGCUUGUUGGCGGGGUAACGGCCCACCAAGGCAACGAUCAGUAGGGGUUCUGAGAGGAAGGUCCCCCACAUUGGAACUGAGACACGGUCCAA